AUAACAAUGAGAAAUCAUUGCUAAUACCGCAUAUGCCGAGAGAAUCACAUGGUACAAUCGGGAAAAGAGUAAUCUGCUAGAAGAUGGCCUUGCGUCUGAUUAGAUAGUUGGUGGGGUAACGGCCUACCAAGUCGACGAUCAGUAGCCGGACUGAGAGGUUGAACGGCCACAUUGGGACUGAGAUACGGCCCAGACUCCUACGGGAGGCAGCAGUCGGGAAUAUUGCGCAAUGGAGGAAACUCUGACGCAGUGACGCCGCGUAUAGGAAGAAGGUUUUCGGAUUGUAAACUAUUGUCGUUAGGGAAGAGAAAGGACAGUACCUAAGGAGGAAGCUCCGGCUAACUACGUGCCAGCAGCCGCGGUAAUACGUAGGGAGCGAGCGUUAUCCGGAAUUAUUGGGUGUAAAGGGUGCGUAGACGGGAAGAUAAGUUAGUUGUGAAAUCCCUCGGCUUAACUGAGGAACUGCAACUAAAACUGUUUUUCUUGAGUGCAGGAGAGGUAAGUGGAAUUCCUAGUGUAGCGGUGAAAUGCGUAGAUAUUAGGAGGAACACCAGUGGCGAAGGCGACUUACUGGACUGUAACUGACGUUGAGGCACGAAAGUGUGGGGAGCAAACAGGAUUAGAUACCCUGGUAGUCCACACCGUAAACGAUGGAUACUAGGUGUAGGAGAUAUUAAGUCUUCUGUGCCGUCGCAAACGCAGUAAGUAUCCCACCUGGGGAGUA
rnacentral:rRNA from 1 species